rnacentral:rRNA from 1 species
AACGAACGCUGGCGGCAGGCUUAACACAUGCAAGUCGAACGCCCCGCAAGGGGAGUGGCAGACGGGUGAGUAACGCGUGGGAAUCUACCCAGUUCUACGGAACAACAGUUGGAAACGACUGCUAAUACCGUAUACGCCCUACGGGGGAAAGAUUUAUCGGAAUUGGAUGAGCCCGCGUAAGAUUAGCUAGUUGGUGGGGUAAUGGCCUACCAAGGCGACGAUCUUUAGCUGGUCUGAGAGGAUGAUCAGCCACACUGGGACUGAGACACGGCCCAGACUCCUACGGGAGGCAGCAGUGGGGAAUAUUGGACAAUGGGCGCAAGCCUGAUCCAGCCAUGCCGCGUGAGUGAUGAAGGCCUUAGGGUUGUGAAGCUCUUUCACCGAUGAAGAUAAUGACGGUAGUCGGAGAAGAAGCCCCGGCUAACUUCGUGCCAGCAGCCGCCGUAACAC